rnacentral:rRNA from 1 species
AUUGAACGCUGGCGGCAUGCCUUACACAUGCAAGUCGAACGGUAGCGGGCCUUCGGGUGCCGACGAGUGGCGAACGGGUGAGUAAUACAUCGGAACGUGCCCGAUCGUGGGGGAUAACGAGGCGAAAGCUUUGCUAAUACCGCAUACGAUCUACGGAUGAAAGCAGGGGACCGCAAGGCCUUGCGCGGACGGAGCGGCCGAUGGCAGAUUAGGUAGUUGGUGGGAUAAAAGCUUACCAAGCCGACGAUCUGUAGCUGGCCUGAGGGGAUGAUCAGCCACACUGGGACUGAGACACGGCCCAGACUCCUACGGGAGGCAGCAGUGGGGAAUUUUGGACAAUGGGCGCAAGCCUGAUCCAGCCAUGCCGCGUGCAGGAUGAAGGCCUUCGGGUUGUAAACUGCUUUUGUACGGAACGAAAAGCCUUCUUUUAAUACAGGAGGGUCAUGACGGUACCGUAAGAAUAAGCACCGGCUAACUACGUG